rnacentral:misc_RNA from 1 species
UACGUAGGGGGCAAGCGUUAUCCGGAUUUACUGGGUGUAAAGGGAGCGUAGACGGUUCUGCAAGUCUGGAGUGAAAACCCGGUGCUCAACGCCGGGAUUGCUUUGGAAACUGUGGAACUGGAGUACCGGAGGGGUGAGCGGAAUUCCUAGUGUAGCGGUGAAAUGCGUAGAUAUUAGGAGGAACACCAGUGGCGAAGGCGGCUCACUGGACGGUAACUGACGUUGAGGCUCGAAAGCGUGGGGAGCAAACAGG